rnacentral:rRNA from 1 species
UACGUAGGGGGCAAGCGUUGUCCGGAUUUACUGGGCGUAAAGAGCGUGUAGGCGGCCAAACAGGUCCGUUGUGAAAACUGGAGGCUCAACCUCCAGACGUCGACGGAAACCGUGUGGCUAGAGUCCGGAAGAGGAGAGUGGAAUUCCUGGUGUAGCGGUGAAAUGCGCAGAUAUCAGGAAGAACACCAAUGGCGAAGGCAGCUCGCUGGGACGUUACUGACGCUGAGACGCGAAAGCGUGGGGAGCAAACAGG